GAUGAACGCUGGCGGCGUGCCUAAUACAUGCAAGUCGAGCGAACGGACGAGAAGCUUGCUUCUCUGAUGUUAGCGCCGGACGGGUGAGUAACACGUGGAUAACAUACCUAUAAGACUGGGAUAACUUCGGGAAACCGGAGCUAAUACCGGAUAAUAUUUUGAACCGCAUGGUUCAAAAGUUAAAGACGGUCUUGCUGUCACUUAUAGAUGGAUCCGCGCUGCAUUAGCUAGUUGGUAAGGUAACGGCUUACCAAGGCAACGAUGCAUAGCCGACCUGAGAGGGUGAUAGGCCACACUGGAACUGAGACACGGUCCAGACUCCUACGGGAGGCAGCAGUAGAGAAUCCUCCGCAAUGGACGAAAGCCUGACGGAGCAACGCCGCGUGAGUGAUGAAGGUCUUCGGAUCGUAGAACUCUGUUAUUAGGGAAGAACAUAUGUGUAAGUAACUGUGCACAUCUUGACGGUACCUAAUCAGAAAGCCACGGCUAACUACGUG
rnacentral:rRNA from 1 species